rnacentral:misc_RNA from 1 species
GAUGAAGAACCGUAGCGAAAUGCGAUAAGUAAUGUGAAUUGCAGAAUUCAGUGAAUCAUCGAAUCUUUGAACGCACAUUGCGCCCCUUGGUAUUCCGAGGGGCAUGCCUGUUCGAGCGUCAUUAUAACCCCUCAAGCUCAGCUUGGUGUUGGGGCCUGCUGCACUGGCAGCCCUUAAAAUCAGUGGCGGCGCCAUCUGGCUCUAAGCGUAGUAAUUCUUCUCGCUAUGGAGUCCUGGUGGAUGCUUGCCAUCAACCCCCAAUUUUUCUAUGGUUGACCUCGGAUCAGGUAGGGAUACCCGCUGAACUUAAGCAUAUCAAUAAGCGGAGGA